rnacentral:lncRNA from 1 species
GCUAAAUAGAAUUUUGAAACACCAGUCCUACCCACAAAUUUGGAAACAUUCAAAAAUUUCAGAUCCUGCCUGCCCCAGGCUAUUUGCCUUUAUAAAAACCUACAAGAAUCCUGCAGGGGCAAGAUCAAUAGUGAAGAAAAGAAAAGCACCCAUCUACAAUCUUGAAAAAAUCUUAGUCAAAUGGUGCAACUCAAUCUUAAGAAAGAGCAACAAUUCGACCACUGAAAUCAUUGAGGCACUAAACAGAAUAAAGAGAGUGGAUUGAAAGCACGAUGAUCUUGUUGUCAUCUAUGACUUCAAGAGCUUAUACUCCUCUCUAAAAAUAGAAUCAGCAUAUAAUGCGUUCUACAGAUUCCUAUUGGCCAACAUAUCAUCAGCUCAAGAAAAUGCUUCAUUCCUAAGGGAAUUGGCUAACCUUAAAUGUUAUAACUCAUUCUUCUAUUUCAAAGAAAGGGUUUACCAGCAGACACGGGAAUACCAAUUAGGAAUCCAAUGGCAGACCCUCUAGCGGAAAUACUCUUGAGGCAAGUAGAGGACCCAAUCCUUCAAAUGUUUGAGCCAAGCAUCAAACUAUACCUAACUAUGUGGAUGACAUUUUCACCCUAUGGGAGAAUGACGAUAAAGUUAAUGAAUUCAAAGCUGCAUUCACAUUCUCGCAUAUGGUCUAAGUCUCAAAAAAAUCCAGCAAAAUCACAAUGAAGCUCACUUCUUAGAUAUAAAUAUGAAGAUUGAAAGAGAAGAGAUUAAAACUGCUGUAUACCAAAAACCUUCCCACCAGUCAAUAAUAAUCUCUAGAUGGUCCCAGGACACUGUGUCUUAUUAAAAAAAGCACCAUUCAGGUCACUCUUUAGAAGGGCAUUCAUAUAUUCCUCAGACUGUCAGAGCUUGCAGAUGGAAAUAAACUACAUAUACAAUAUAGACUACCAACACGAUUAUGAAAAAGGAUUUACAAAAAGCAUAUGCACAAAGACUGAACAGUUUAUGAAGAGAAAAGAAACUGAAGUUGCAUCUAUUUCAAACAUUAACCACACUAAUGAUAAAACUUUUCUCCCUCAGCUGUAUUCUAUAGUGAAGCUUAGCUGUAUGAGAAGCCUCAUGAAAAAAGCUAAGAAAAGACCAACAUAAUAGAAAUUUUUAUUCAGCUCUCUAAACAGGAAUUAAAACUCAUAUUUCUGAGCACCCACAAUUUUUAAUAAAAUCACAAGUGAAAAAGACAGAAGAAGAGAUUAUCAAAAAUCGGAUGUUUAUAAAAUUUCAGCCACAUUUACCAACACCCAGCAACCUAAAGUGUAUAUAGGUGUUACUACAAGAAUGCUACAAAAAAGGAUUGAAGAGCACAGAAAAACCUAGCUAAUGGAAGAGUUUCCACUGCACUGGCUAUAGAAGCCUUCAAUAGUGAUUUGCAAGUAGACGGGAAUAAUGUGAAAAUUAUAAAACCUACACCUAUAAAAUCCCAAGCCUUUUUAACAGAAUCUCUGGAGAUCUUAAAAGUCAAACAUAGGGAGCAACUACUUAAUGAUAAACCACCUGUUGAGCUGCUGUCUUUGUGGAACUACCUUCUAGAAAACUGGAAAGAAAAGUAGCAAAAAAGAGGAAGUAAAACCACCAUCAAGAACACUAAGAACCCAUUAAAACCAAAAUUUGGUGCCUCAAUAUUG